CUUCUUAAACUGACUUUUUAAUUAAUUAAAUUGACCUAUUAGUUGUUCUACGAUAACAAUAACAUUAUUUUUAUUGUUGUAGGCACCAUUGGACACUCAUUGCAAUAUGUGUGUCAAGUAACGAAGUCUACCACUUUGAUUCUUUGCGUAAAGGAACAAUACGGUCCUUACUAGUCAAAUCAUUGUUAAAUAGUGUGAUGAAGAAGAUUACUUCAUCUGGACUUCGACAAGGAAAAGCUCCUGUUUGGUAUUUAGUCGAGUGUCCGGUACAAGAAGGUGGACUUGCGUGUGGGUAUUACGUCAUGAGGUUCAUGCUCGAUAUCGUCAACUAUUGCAAAGAUGUUGUUGAUCUUCGAAAGGUAUGUAACUUUUAGGUUUCCAAUUGUUGUUUGUUGUAUUUCCGGCCUAUUUUAGCCUUUUCGCUCCCAAAAUGUA